AUGACCACCAUGCAUCCUUUCGCUGUCCUAAGUGGGUAACCAUCACCCCACGGUCCCUCAGAGCCUUCCUUACCUACCCUCUAGUUUCUGGGCCAAAGAAUGAGAGUUAGGUUCAAGAUGGCCUCAGACACAUGAUGGACAGACUUGUUCCCCUGACCACGAAGCACCCCAAGACUCCAGCUCAGGAAAACCCUAGCAAGGUGGGUGAGGUCAUGAAUCCAGAGCCUGAGGAUACUGCUUUGAAAAAGCUUUGUCUCUCUGAGCAGGGACUGAGGAGGAAGCUUGACGCUCAGAAGGACCCAAGUCCAAACUGGCAGGCCCAUACAGCUGUGGGGUCUGUAAGAUGCUGGACCACCUGAGCCCCAGUAUCCACGUGAACAGGAUUUCAGAUAAGGAAACGGACCUCAGAGAAAGGAAGUCAAUGGAGCCACUAGUUGACCGACCGCAUCUCGCACUUAACUCCACGUCAGGGGCCAGUCGAUCAACUCUUCCUUGAUAACGGGGAUAUGACAAGAAGGCUGCAGUUCCUUAUACCCAAGCACAGUCUCCAAGCCCUAAGAGGCAAACAGCCUGGCUUCCCUGAAGGCUCUGAGCACUUGGCCCUAGACAUCCACUCAUAGGAGGAGCUAUUUGAAGAAACAUUGAUGUUUGAAGGAACAGAAAGGCAGAUCCUUGUUCAGGAGGGCAGGGAGAACCCAGAGGGACUGACUCCAAGGUAAGAAGAGCUAGGUGUGGUGGCUCAUGCCUGUAAUCCCAGCAUUCCAGGAGGUUGAGGUGUCACGAGAUCUUGGCAAUCCCUUGCAUAGUUCAUCCAGGAAUUGCUCUCGAGAGAAUUGGCAAGGAGCUCUGUUUGGGGGCCUGGAGUGUGUUUUGACUUGUGACCCAGAGUAGGGGUGGAACCCCGGGUGGAGGGUGGUGGUGCUAUCUAAAAUCAUGGCUGGAACUCCACUGUGGUGGAGCCAGGCAUUUUCAAGGAUGGGCUCCUGGGCUGUGGUGAAGGUUCAGAAGUCUCUAGCUUUUGUGUCCUGUACCUGCAUCCGUGGGCUCCAUGCCACACCAUCAGAUCAACAUGGACCCCAGGGAAGCAUGACUGGACCUGGACGGGGAAUUGAGCUGAAUUGCCCCCUUUCUAGCGGACAACUUAUAUAAAUUAUCUUUCAAGCCUGACCACUUGAGGCGUCGAAGGAGGUGCUGGUAAUAAUUAUACCGGACCAACUGGCUUGAACUGCAACCACCCGAGGCAAACCCCGUUCAGACUCCUUACUCAUUGGUCAGAUAAAAGUUCAAGACAAAGGGAUGAUGCCUAGAAGCAAAUCGUUGGUUGAGUUGGCCAACAAGUCUUUCCAAAUCCACCCCCUCCUCUUUUAUCCCCUACGUCACGCUUUGUGAAGGACGCACUGUUAACAGUGGCACAGUUUGACUUGGUAACCUCCAUCUAGACCUUGCUUAGUCUGUGGUCACCCGGAACACAGCCCACGAGUGCUUCUCUGUGCCACUGUACUCCAGGUUGUUUUGUAACCACAAAGGGUUAUUAAGUGUGAAGAAUAGGGCUUGUCUACAUGAUCUGUCAAUAUUGAGAGGGCACAGAGCAACAGAAACUGGCAUGUUGCUGGCAUGAGAGUGAAUUGCAUGACAGACUCAAGGAGCACAGUAUCUGCAGCCCAGAGAGCACCCCUGGGUGUACCCUUGGGAAGCUCUUGUAUGUGCCAGGGUACAUGCUACCUAGCAGCGUUAUCUGUAAGCGAAGACCUGCCAGCAGCCUGCAGGCCCUUACCAGGGUCAUGGCUUCAGAAAACCAUCAGCAAGCUGGAGGUGUAGCUGAGAAGUUGAGCAGGUGCCCAGAGCAGCCACAAAAUAAAGAUAACAACAAACAGUGACAACCCACCAGUCAACUUGUGUCAAGAACAGUUUAGAGAAAAGGGCACGCUCCUGGAGGAUUUCUGUUGGGCAGCACUCUCUAUAAAAAAGGUCCAGAAGCAUGCUCGGACGCAGCAGCAACAUUAAACAUGUCUGCAGUAACAAACUAGAUUGGAGCACAGUGGCUGUGGGGAGGAAACGCAUGGCCACCAACAGGAAGUGUACAGCAACUUGGGUUGCCUGGAGUCUUUUCUGUUUUAGCUGGUGGCAUGUAUACAAGGCUCAUUUUGGGCUUUUCAGGCGACAGAUCUGCUUUCUGAAUCUAGCCCUGUACUUGGUUUCGAGUGGCCUUAGACAUGUUCACUUGACAAUUUCCUUCUCUGUUAAUGGGGUUCUCAUAGUGCCCACCUCAAGAGCGGCCACGGCACUUACAUGGCUAACCAGGGAUUUUCUUUGUUUCCUACAGAAAGUGUGAUCUUGGAUCCUUCUGUAAUGAACCCUGGCAGCAGGGGUACCGGACGUGAAAGUAGGACUUGGGGGUUGGGUCCAUGUCUCCACAGGCAGGCUUGGGGUGAGCUGGUGGCAUGUGCCAUUUACAAAUUCACAGAGACAGUCUUAUUUCUACCUGGUAUUUCCUGGUAGUGCCGAGCUCAGAAUGCCCCCCUUCUCUCCCUUCCCUUCACCUCCAGUGUCUACUACCUCUGUCCAUUUACAGGACCGGACAGAUAGAUGCCAUUCAUGGUCACUCAGCUGUUGAGAGACGAAAGUGGGAUUCUAACCCAGGGAUCUCAGGAAUAACACACAUCCAACCUAAACCUGGUGUUCAUACCCUUGGUCAUGUUCCAUUUGAGCAUCUUUUUUUUGUUUUUGUUUUUGUUUUUGUUUCCUGAGAUAGGGUCUCACUGUGUAGCUCUGACGAUCCUGGAACUCACUAUGUAGAUAAGGUUGGCCUCGAACUCACAGAGAUCCACCUACCUCUGCCUCCUGAGUAAGUGCUAGGGUUAAAGGCGUGUGCAACCACAGCCAGCCCAUUUAGGAAUCUUAUAAAAAUCACCAGACACUGUUCUCACCUGAGGGAGCUCUGGCAUCUGACCACAUGGACAUGGCAACUUUCAGAGCUUCCUGGACAGGCAGGUGCCAGGCAGGGGUCCACAUUCCCACCCUUGCCGAGGUUGUGGUGGGUACGUGUGCAUGAGCGCAGGUGUCUAUGGAGUCCUGAAGAGAGCUGGAGUUGUAGGGAGUUGUGAGCCGCCUGAUAGGAGAACUGCGUUUUGAUCUUCCACAAGAGCCUAUGCGCUCUUAACCUUUGAGCCACCCCCUCCCCCAGCUCCUACUCUUUUGCUUCAUAUUUUACUGCAUUUUUCA